UACGAAGGGGGGCUAGCGUUGUUCGGAUUUACUGGGCGUAAAGCGACGUAGGCGGAUUGUUAAGUCAGGGGUGAAAUCCCAGAGCUCAACUCUGGAACUGCCUUUGAUACUGGGUAUCUUGAGUAUGGAAGAGGUAAGUGGAAUUGCGAGUGUAGAGGUGAAAUUCGUAGAUAUUCGCAGGAACACCAGUGGCGAAGGCGGCUUACUGGUCCAUUACUGACGCUGAGGUGCGAAAGCGUGGGAGCAAACAGG
rnacentral:rRNA from 1 species